AAAUUUCGUUUCUCUCUAUCUCUCUCUCUCACACUCAAAGCCUUCAUUCGUAGCAGCUAGCACUAAGACUGAAGGAAUCCAUUCGUGUGGACUGAGUAGAGGCGUUGUCACCAUUCAACGUUCGUGAUCACUCCUUAGAUCUGCAUCAAAGGUUUCAAUCGCCACAAGAGGUAAUGAUUCUAUCACUGGUCAUGCCCAUUCAUAAGGAUCACUAAAGGAGAAAAAAUUUAAAUU
rnacentral:lncRNA from 1 species